GCAGCAAAAAUGGGCUCUUUCAGAACUCGAGGAUCAGGCCCUUGCAUUCUUUGCCAACGUCAGCCCUGGCCAGAAACUGUGGUGUCCUGCAGGCCUUUCAGGACAAGAGGGCGGGCCCUACUUUCUCUCUCCAAGAUGAGGAGUGAAGGCCCAGAGUUCAGGGCCCCUCCCACACCCCUCUCCCAGGCACUAGAGGCCCACCAGAGCUGGAGGGGGAGGUGCACUGGAAAACUGAAAAGCAAAAGCCUGGGCCACGGUAGGAAGGGUAGGAAGGAAUAUAAGACAGAAGUGCUGGGAGGUAAGAUGCAGGGCUGAAGGCUGAGAUUCCGUGUCGCGAGCCAGCUGCAGGGACUGCGAGUUGCAGGAUGCCCGCUCGUCCAAGGAGGUCCUGGACACACUCUGUGCCAAUGACUUUGCAGUGAAGGUUCAGGCUCUCCUGGCUCAAUGGAUCAUCCCCCAGCCCCUCAGACUGUGACCUGGACUCAUGGUUAGAGGUGUUGAAGGCGGGCCCACUGCCCCCCAUGGAGCUGGCGCCCACUCUUCGACGCUGGCUGCAGCUGGAUGCCACGUGUGUGCACAAUCUUCUGCGUGGAAGGCAUGCUAGGACCUACGUGCUGAGUGGGGAGGUGCAGGGCCACCAGCUGCUGGUAACCAUGGCCUAUGCUUGGAGCCGGGGCCACCGAAAUCUGCAGCUGGCCGUGUGCAGAUGGCACCAUCACCAGUGCGCAGAAUAGGGGCUAACACAGGCAGGGAGAGCCUGGGACUUUGUAGCCAUAGCCUCUGCAGUGGCCAUGCAAACCAUAUGCUCCCCUGGACACAUAUAAAACCCUCUUUCUGCUGCCCUACACAGAUAUUUGCAGACUAUAGUUCAGAGAAUCCCCUAGGCUCACCCAGAAAUGGCUCAAGCAGAAGCCCACUGCAAUGGUCACAGGUAGGGGUCCCUUCCUGAGCUGGUAGUGCUCCGCCCCGACACAAGGCAGGCUGGCUCCCUGGCAGCUGUCUGUGCUGGGUAGGCAAGACCACCUUUCUGUCUUUCUCAGGCCUAGGAUGACAGCCUGGCUAAUGCCCUGCUACUGCUCACAAGCCUCAGCACCCCAAGCUGAGUCUCAGGGCAGGCACAAAGCCUUGGGCUAUGCUCACACUGGGCAGCAUGCUGCUUGUCAAGCCCCAGACAGACUCAGUUAUAUCUGCCUGACCUUUACUGAGUUCCACAGGCCAAGCAGCAGGUCUGUGCAAUAGCAGGGGUAUGUGGAGGGGUCCAUGCAGAAAACUACAUUAAGCUGCUUACAAACCCCAACUAAUUUGCAGACUAAAAUUGUUUCCCUACUUAUGGGCUUCCAGUAUUUGUCAAGAACACAGUGGUCUUAAGUAGCUGCCUAACUGUUUUCUUAAGCUGAAAAAUAAUACAUUUGGAAAUCCUAUGAUAAAGCCAUCAUGGUUUUUUCUUUGUUUGUUUGUUUGUUUUUUUGUGAGGGAGAUCGGCCCUGAGCUAACAUCCAUGCUAAUCCUCCUCUUUUUGCUGAGGAAGACCAAUUCUGAGCUAACAUCUAUUGCCAAUCUUCCUCCUUUUUUUCUUCCCCAAAGCCCCAGUAGAUAGUUGUAUGUCAUAGCUGCACAUCCUUCUAGUUGCUGUAUGUGGGACGCAGCCUCAGCAUGGCCGGAGAAGCGGUGCGUCGGUGCGCGCCCAGGAUCCGAACCCGGGCCGCCAGUAGUGGAGCGCGUGCACUUAACCGCU